rnacentral:rRNA from 1 species
GACGAAGGGGGCUAGCGUUGUUCGGAAUUACUGGGCGUAAAGCGAGUGUAGGUGGUUGUCCAAGUUGGAUGUGAAAGCCUUGAGCUCAACUCAAGAAAUGCAUUCAGGACUGGGCGGCUAGAGGACCGGAGAGGAUAGUGGAAUUCCCAGUGUAGUGGUGAAAUACGUAGAGAUUGGGAAGAACACCGGUGGCGAAGGCGGCUAUCGGGACGGUUUCUGACACUAAGACUCGAAAGCGUGGGGAGCAAACAGG